AGUGAAAGAGGGAGGGAGGAAGAAAAAAGGAAAGGAGAAAGGGAGAAAAGUAAGAGUGGGAGAGGAAGGGGGGCGAGUGGCGGAGGGGUGAGGAAUACAGAGGAAGUGACGUUUUGGUGGGGGAUAAAGGAGGGAAAUGUACGCUAAGAUAGUAUACGACAUAUGGGUGAAAGCAGGGGAUCUUCGGAUCUUGCGCGAUUGAAUGAGCCGAUGUCGGAUUAGGUAGUUGGCGGGGUAAACGCCCACCAAGGAGACGAUCCGUAGCUGGUCUGAGAGGAUGAUCAGCAACACUGAAACUGAGACACGAUCCAGACUCCUACGGGAGGCAGCAGUGGGGAAUAUUGGAAAAUGGGAGAAAGAAUGAUAAAGCCAUACCGCGUGGGUGAAGAAGGCCUUCGGGUUUUAACUCCCUUUUCUUUCAAACGAAAAGCAGCAGGUUAAUACCCCGCUGUUCUGACUGUACCCAAAGAAUAAGCACCAGCUCCCUUCGUG
rnacentral:rRNA from 1 species